CGUUCUCAGGGCAGGGUGCAAUUCCCUACUGGCGGUCAAGCCCGCGAGCGUUUGUGUAUAACCAUACAUAAAGUCAGCAGAUUUGGUGAAAUUCCAAAGCCAACAGUGAAAGUCUGGAUGAAAGAGAAUA
rnacentral:ncRNA from 1 species